GUUAGCAGACAGCUGAUGCUGCUGCUCUUCCUCCCGGACAGAAACAGAAAACCCACUUUCAAAGUUCGCUUCUUUAUUACACACACGUCUUCAGAUCAAAGGACAAAGGUGCAACCCAACGGGAAAAGUGAACCAAAGCAGCUGAAAAUGAAACAUAAAAACAUCCUUCCUGAAAGGCAGAUGAGUCACCGUGACUACAGAUAAUGGAUAUUGGCAAACUGAGUCAUAUAUGUUGGCCCCAACGGAUCAGUGAAUCAUCAUUCCAGGUCAGUGUGUGUGUGUGU